ACACCCACAAAGUCGCAUUUGCCAGGUAAGGUGACAUAUUCACAGUUUCCAGGGAUGAGGAAGUGGACAUCUUCGAGGGGCCAUUAUUCUGCCCACCACAAAGGCAUAAAAUAAACAAUUAUUAGCCGUUGCCACAGUCGUGCAUUCGUCUGGAAGCUUAUAUGGCAAAACUCUGCAGCAGUCAAAAGAGAGCAAAAAGGAAGAGCCCGAUGAAAUGCUUUAGUAACAAGUCACUAAGAAUCUCAGGCACAGACUGACAUUUGCUGUGUUUGCUCUGUCAUCAACCACGUCCUGGCUGGUGAGGUGCUUCUGAGGACAGCUGGCUUGACCCGUCUCUGUUCCACCUUCUCUACCCCAAGCGACGCACCGCUGCAGCCCAGCGGUCCGCUCAGUGCUUCAUAAUCAUCAAAACAAUGCCGGGGAAUGAGGAGGAAGGCUGGGGAUGGGGGGACCUCUGCUCAGGUUUUCCCUGAGAGACUUCCAGGAGUCUUCCAGACCUCUGAACAGAAAACUGAUUUAAUUAGAAGCAAAAUCCUGACGAGGAGGCUUCUGGUGGCUGUGUGGGAAGAUGAGCUGGAGCUGGGCAGGCUGGGGAGUAGUGGGCGGAUAAACACAGUUCUCUUCCCUCCGAGUUGUUACUUCUGGAAGAAUCCUUUCGAGGGAUUGAUUUUGUGUUGAAUCGCAGUUUGUUGCCUGAGGUCGGGAAGACAUUUCUCUUUUCCAAAUUAGGUAAACUGUGACCGCGGAGCCUUUCCUUUGAAACAGUUCUGGGAAGUUUCUCUGUGACAUUUGAAAGACAGUGCAUCUCUCCUUCAGAGCCAUCCUUACGAGGUCACAAAGCAGCCCGGAUGGAGAAGAGGGAGGAUUUCAGGAGGGUGAUCCCGGGGGACAGCCAGCAGUUCAAUUUUGAAGCGGAUAAUUUUCCUCUUCCCUUUCUGAUCCAUUUCCUCCCCACCCCACCUUCAGCUCCUAAUGAAAACAUGCCCUCAACCAGGCUUUGAUUUGCCCCCAUUUUUAUAUCUCUGCCUGACCUGUCCUUGUGUCCUUCCGUAGUAGACAGAACUCUGAGAUGUUCCUGCAAGAUUCCCACUCUCUGGUCUACACUCGCCGUAUAAUCCCCUCCAAUGUGGGUGGGAUGGUAAAUAUACGGAAUUUAACUCCUGUGGAUUAGGCAUCAUUAUACGAAAAAGAUGAAGGUCCCCAAAAGGUUGACUUUGAGUUACUCGAAAGGGAGAUUUCCUGGGUGGGCCUGACCUAUAGGUGAGCCCUGAAAAUGGGUUGGGCCCUUUCCGAAGGGGGUGAUCAGAAGGAACAAAUUUACCUGCUGGUUUUGAAAAAACAAACUGCCCUGUUUUGGAGAGGGACACACAGCAGAAAUCACAGGCAGCCUCGAGCAUCUGAGAGCAGCCCCCGGAUGAGAGCCACCAAGGAAAGAGAGAGCCGAGUCCUACGACCACAACUUGUUAUAUUCUGCCAAGAACCACACAAGCUUGGAAGAAGACCCGAAGCCUCAGCUGAGAACACAGCCGGCUGACACCUUGAUGUCAGCCUGAUGAGACCCUACGCAGGGAACUUGACCAGACCAGCCUGAACUUCUGAUCUACAGAACCGGGAGCUAAGAAACAGGGGUGGUUUUAAACCAUUCAGUUGGUGAUAAUUUCUUCUAGAGUGAUACAAAAGUAAUACACUUUCUACACACCGUCCCCUCCCUUCUUUCACUGAGUAGCUCCUAUUCAUCAUCUGAGAUUCUGCUGGAGAAGCAUCUCAUCCAUCAGCCCUGAAGCCCUCUCCUCCCAUCGCCCCCCACGCUUCCCCAACUGGGCCAGGCCGCGCGCCUCUCCUUUGUUCUCCUAAAGCAGUGGUGCUCACAGUCCCCAAGAAAAUUUUAUGGGGUCCACAAGGACAAAAAUAUUUUCAUCCUAAUGCUCUGGCCUUAUUUCCCUUGUUCACUGUGUUGACAUUGCACUCAUGAUCCAAAGCUGUGGUGAGGAAGACUGCUGGAGGCCAGCGUGAAUCCAGGCAGGGGGGCCAAAAUGUACUAAGAGCCACCAUUGUCUUUACUGCCAUGCACUCACAGUGAAAAAUACUGUGUU
ensembl:lncRNA